GUUAAGGUGGCAGAGCCCGGUUUAAUGCGAGAGACUUAAAUCCUUUUCAGAGGGGUUCAAAUCCCCUGCUUAACU
rnacentral:tRNA from 1 species